rnacentral:rRNA from 1 species
GACGAACGCUGGCGGCGUGCCUAAUACAUGCAAGUAGAACGCUGAAGAGAGGAGCUUGCUCUUCUUGGAUGAGUUGCGAACGGGUGAGUAACGCGUAGGUAACCUGCCUUGUAGCGGGGGAUAACUAUUGGAAACGAUAGCUAAUACCGCAUAACAAUGGAUGACCCAUGUCAUUUAUUUGAAAGGGGCAAAUGCUCCACUACAAGAUGGACCUGCGUUGUAUUAGCUAGUAGGUGAGGUAACGGCCCACCUAGGCGACGAUACAUAGCCGACCUGAGAGGGUGAUCGGCCACACUGGGACUGAGACACGGCCCAGACUCCUACGGGAGGCAGCAGUAGGGAAUCUUCGGCAAUGGGGGCAACCCUGACCGAGCAACGCCGCGUGAGUGAAGAAGGGUUUCGGAUCGUAAAGCUCUGUUGUAAGUCAAGAACGAGUGUGAGAGUGGAAAGUUCACACUGUGACGGUAGCUUACCAGAAAGGGACGGCUAACUACGUG